GAUGAACGCUGGCGGCGUGCUUAACACAUGCAAGUCGAGCGAAGCACUCUGCUUUGAUUCUUUCGGGAUGAAGAGCAUUGUGACUGAGCGGCGGACGGGUGAGUAACGCGUGGGUAACCUGCCUCAUACAGGGGGAUAACAGUUAGAAAUGGCUGCUAAUACCGCAUAAGACCACAGCACCGCAUGGUGCAGGGGUAAAAACUCCGGUGGUAUGAGAUGGACCCGCGUCUGAUUAGCUAGUUGUGGGUAACGGCCUACCAAGGCGACGAUCAGUAGCCGACCUGAGAGGGUGACCGGCCACAUUGGGACUGAGACACGGCCCAAAACUCCUACGGGAGGCAGCAGUGGGGAAUAUUGCACAAUGGGGGAAACCCUGAUGCAGCGACGCCGCGUGAGCGAAGAAGUAUUUACGGUAUGUAAAGCUCUAUCAGCAGGA
rnacentral:rRNA from 1 species